GAUUGGGGAUAAGGUGGUGCUAAUUGUGCUAUCGGCGGUGACGCUGGUGCUGCUGUUGCUGACGCGUGCGACGGUGAAUAUUCUGACCUCGCUGGCGGUUGGGCUGGUGGUGGUUGUUGUGCACGCGGCGCUGAGGAAGACGGAGGAUCUGUCGCUUGAUGAUGAGGCGGCGGCUGGUUGGUAUGCUCCGGUGGGGGCUUCUUCCUCAUCUUAGCAGGUUGGAGUUAUGAAUUGAAAUUUGUUGUUUAUUAUGGAUUGGCCGAUUUCUCGAAUUUGAAGUGUGUUAUUGUGAUGAAGUGUGAUUUGUUAUAUUUGUGUUUAUAAUUGGGAAUUUUG
rnacentral:misc_RNA from 1 species